ACGUUAAUAAGGGGUUUAUUUAUAUUUAAAGUGGUGAUAAUUUAGAAAAAACUAAACAGUUUUCCCUUUGGUAUAAGGGGCUAAGGAGGAGUCAGAUUUAAGAUUUCCCCAAAAUUGAAGAUCUACUGUUGAAUGGUUUGUAAUGAUAUAAAUUAAAUCAAUGGUGGUAGUGAUAUGCUUUCGUUUCAAUUAUAGGUGGGUUAUUUCGUUGUAUUAGUUAAGCUAAAAUAAUGUUGAGGGGGUUGAGUUAAAAAAAUCAUUAAAGCGUGUUGUGUUAUAACUAGGUUAUUAGAAUUUAGGAUUUAAAUUAUUUUAGUUAUUAUAAUAGUAAUUUCAAAAUUAUCUUAGUAUUAGUAAUUCAAGUUUAAAAGUUGGUACAUCUAACCCUAUAAUAAGAACUAAAGUUUUGUUCGAAUGUUUAAUAAAAACAUUUCUUGAUAAUUGUCAAGUAAGCCCUGCCCGGUGGUAUAAACGGCCGCAGUAUUUUGACUGUGCUAAGGCAUAAUAAUUAGUCUUUUUAUUGAAGUCUGGAAUGAAAGGGUUUACGGGUAAAAUCUGUUUUUUAAAGGGGUGUGAAAUUAAAUUCUAAGUGAAAAUUCUUAGGGUUAUAAUUAAGACGGAAAGACCCCGAGAAUCUUUACAAUUCAAUUGUUUGGUUGGGGUAAUCCUUGGUGUUUAAAAUAUCAAGUAAUUAGAUACUCCGGGGAUAACAGGACAAUUUAGUAAUAAGUUUGUUACCUCGAUGUUGAAUCAUCCUGUUUUUGUCUGUUCGACAAAUUAGAGGGUACGUGAUUUGAGUUUAGACCGGCGUGAGCCAGGUCGGUUCUUAUCUAACAAGCCCCCCUAGUGGUACGAAAGGAUGCUAGAGGGAGGAUAAUCUUUAU
rnacentral:rRNA from 1 species